GUCUACGGCCAUACCACCCUGAACACGCCCGAUCUCGUCUGAUCUCGGAAGCUAAGCAGGGUCGGGCCUGGUUAGUACUUGGAUGGGAGAAUAGAACAUAAACUAUAAUCA
rnacentral:rRNA from 1 species